GAGGGUAUAGCUUAGUGGUUAAAGCAUAUGCUUAGCAAACACGAGGUCCUGUGUUCAAUCCCCAGUACCUCCU
rnacentral:tRNA from 1 species